UACGAAGGGGGCUAGCGUUGCUCGGAAUCACUGGGCGUAAAGGGUGUGUAGGCGGGCUGGUAAGUCAGGGGUGAAAUCCCGGAGCUCAACUCCGGAACUGCCUUUGAUACUACUGGUCUUGAAUAUUGUUGAGGUAGGCGGAAUGUGUCAUGUAGCGGUGAAAUGCAUAGAUAUGACACAGAACACCGAUUGCGAAGGCAGCUUACUGGGCAAUGAUUGACGCUGAGGCACGAAAGCGUGGGGAUCAAACAGG
rnacentral:rRNA from 1 species